rnacentral:rRNA from 1 species
UACGUAGGGGGCAAGCGUUGUUCGGAAUUACUGGGCGUAAAGGGCGCGUAGGCGGCUCAGCGAGUCGGGCGUGAAAGCCCGGGGCUCAACCCCGGAAUGGCUUUCGAAACUGCUGAGCUAGAGUACAGAAGGGGCAACCGGAAUUCCCAGUGUAGCGGUGAAAUGCGUAGAUAUUGGGAAGAACACCUGAGGCGAAGGCGGGUUGCUGGGCUGAUACUGACGCUGAGGCGCGAAAGCAAGGGGAGCAAACGGG